GACGAACGCUGGCGGCGUGCCUAAUACAUGCAAGUUGAGCGCUGAAGGUUGGUCCUUGUCUCAACUGGAUGAGCAGCGCACGGGUGAGUAACGCGUGGGGAAUCUGCCUUUGAGCGGGGGACAACAUUUGGAAACGAAUGCUAAUACCGCAUAAAAACUUUAAACACAAGUUUUAAGUUUGAAAGAUGCAAUUGCAUCACUCAAAGAUGAUCCCGCGUUGUAUUAGCUAGUUGGUGAGGUAAAGGCUCACCAAGGCGAUGAUACAUAGCCGACCUGAGAGGGUGGUCGGCCACAUUGGGAGUGAGACACGGCCCAAAGGCCUACGGGAGGCAGCAGUAGGGAAUCUUCGGCGAGGGACGGAAGUCUGACCGAGCAACGCCGCGUGAGUGAAGAAGGGUGUCGGAUCGUAAAACUCGGUUGGUAGAGAAGAACGUUGGUGAGAGUGGAAAGCUCAUCAAGUGACGGUAACUACCCAGAAAGGGACGGCUAACUACGUG
rnacentral:rRNA from 1 species